GCUGACACGUCCCGGCCAAUCUCCAGCAGACCCUCCCUCCCAGACCCUCCUACUUCCUGGACAGCAUCUUAUGUUGAAACAUGGAUGCUGUCCAGGAAGUAGGAGGGUCUGGGAGGGAGGGUCUGCUGGAGAUUGGCUGGGACGUGUCAG